rnacentral:lncRNA from 1 species
CAUUGAUAAGAAUAUCAACCAAUUGAUUUUGAAGAAAGAAAUUGUUAAAACACCUCAUGUUUGAAUUAAUUGGGAUUUCUGAAGUAAUCUCAUCAGGCCACCGAAUCAUAUCAGAUGCCCCUAAACACCAUGGUAAAUUAAAAAAAAAAGCCAAAGAAGAGGUUUCCAAUAAAAAAAUUUCUUUUAAGGCCUUCACAUUAGGACCAUAAGCAUUAAAUACAAUCCACUUAAAACUCAGACAAAGACCAUAAAAAACAAGAGCUAUUACUCUAUCUUUAACAAUCACAUUCACAUAAACCAAAGCUGAGGAAUCCCAUGGAACCCACAGACCCCAGAAGACCCAAGUGCAUCAACCUCUUCAAAACCCACAGACCCCCAGAAGACCCUAGUACAUCAACCUCUUCAAAACCCACAUACCCACCCCUCCACACUUCUAUAACACUAAUAACAGAAAGCUUGUAGAGUUUGCUUUCCUGCAACAUAAGAAUUUUAGUCUCGUGAUGUUUCACCAAUAACAAAACUUCUCUUUCUGUGCAUCUCCCCAAGUCCCCAGAACAUUCCAACUAAAACUUUUCAUCACAAAAACGAAGACAAAGCACCAUCUAAAACAGGAUCAUCCUCAGAAAAAGUCAUAUUGUCUUCACUACGUUCGACAUUCAAAUUUCUCCCUACCUGUCCCCCAUCAAAAAUAUCCCCUUAUUAGCACGACUUGCUUUCUUUGCCGCUAUCCUCAGUGAAGACCACAAGGAUUUACUUUCUACAGUAACCACAGCUUUACCACCAUUAUUCUUAUCACCCUCUACUUUGAUAUCAUCAUCACCCUUCUUACUGAUUUGAAUCCCAUUCUUCUCUUCCUUAAAUUUCUCGUUCAUAGCUUGUAAAACUUGGCCUAUAGGGACAUCAAAGGAUGCAGCUAUAUCCUAGAGCAUCUCUGCAUAAUCUUUCUCUUCAUCUUCCCUCGGAUCGAUCUUAUCCAGACCACCAAUAACAUGCUCUUGAGCAACGCCUCCAACCUAACCUUCCUCACCCACCACCGGCAACACUUAGUAGUUGCUGAACACCCACCGCUUCCUCAUCUGACCCUCUAUCAUUCGCCCCCACCAAAAGAUAUGCUUAGAGGUUCCUGUAGUUGCUCAACCACCCCGGGCAUGAUUCUCUCUCUCUCCACCCAACCCUUUCGCUCUCUUCUUCUUCUACCUCUCAUGCCGUCCCCAUUGUACCAGCAAGCUACUCUCUAGCCCAUGUAGUAAAUCCACUUAACCUCACAUCCUACCCAUAUAUCUCUGUCAUGACCCACCACACCUAUUCAUAGUGUACCUUAUCUUAUUCUUAGUAGGACUCUGGGCAGACGCUUAAUCCUAGUUCUAAUUACAAUGCACUCCAAAUCUCAAUGGAUUUUCCUAAUUGACGUCUAACUAAUUGGUUGACUUAUUAUAAUCCCAAACCUCAUCCCAUGUUUAAUUAUUAAUCUAAUAGGACUCCUGAUCAUGAUGGGAUUUAGCAAUUCUAGUUUCUAACUCUAAUCUUUCCCAAUUUCACAGACAGCCAACCUGCACUCCGUU